CCUGCUUCAUUUCCCUCUACCCUUAGGGAUGGUGAGACACGGUCUACUCAUCUUUGCUCCCCCAUACCUGGAAUGUUGCUAGACACAAAAGUUCAAAAUAAAUGUGUGGAAGAUCAGUGAUGCAUGAGCAUGUCAAGCUUACCCUGAAUCAACCUGUGAAUGUGGCUCCAGUAAACAACAACAACAACAAACCUUAGUGUUUCUGAGAACCAGCCCUGUGAGGAAUUCCUUCCUCCUCCAAAGUUCUUGAAAUGGAUAGAUGGAGUCAUGUAAGGAACUGUGAUAUUCUGCAAUGGUGCACUAUGUAAGAUCCAGGAAGAUCAAGAUAUGGAACUCUCAGGUCCUUUUCUAAUACAUCUGCCUGCAUGCUGCCAUGGUUCCUGUCAUGAUGAUAAUGGACUAAACCUCUGCACUGAAAGUCUCUGAUCUGCUGGGCCUGGAGGCUGACACUGGCCUGGACCUCUGCCUCUAAUGAAGCCACUGAGAUCACAGGAGCCUAGGAUAACUGCCUAGGUAAUGGGUUGCAGGGAAACAUGGAGUUUGCUUGGCCUAGCUACUUUGAGAUGAAUGUGUCAGAGAUUUUUCAGGUUAGAGUCCAUGGCUCCUGGGGCACAGUGUGCCUUCCAGUUCCUGAGAGACUGAUGCACUCCCUCAGAGAAUGAAGCAUUCAGUCAACUUUGCAUUUCUCUGUAUGAUCCCUUAGUAGUCAAUGAAGGAUGAAGGCUUGACAGGACAAUUGUUCUUAGACAUUAAUUUUGUGAACCCUGUAUGACUUGCAAACUUCACUGUAUCCUGGCAACUACAACUGUAUUGAUCCUGGCAAUUGCCAUUACAUUCUGUUUCUGUUAAAAGUAUAAAAAGUCUGAUUGGUCUCAAUAAAAUUGUCAUAGGCUCAGUUGUGCUGUGGCCCCUCCCACCACCUUGAUUUAAUUCCUCAUGGCCAUAUCAGAUGACCUUGGCCCAGUAAGUAAGCUUGGGCCAAGUUACUUACAAUGAGUAAGUCUCUGUCAUUUUAAUAGAUAUAGUCCCUUCAGAUUAUACUUUCUGCUAUAAUUUAUCCUUCUCUGAUCUCUGAUGACAUUGAUAGCUAGGCUAACUAGCUUUGUUGUACCCACCUUGUUAGUUCAUUUCAUAUGUAAAAAAAUCAGGCCUUGCCUUUUCUAGAGCUACUGGGUCUCCUUCUG